CCAAGCAAAUAACACUCAAGUGGCUGGCUUCAAAGAUAGAAUAAUCCUAGCUAGGACUCUCAGCUUGAACCUCUAUAGUAAAGACACUACAAGCAUUUGAAUACUCUUCAAACUUACAAUGAAUUCAAAAUAGCCUUGUAGCCAAUUACAUUGGACUGUUGGUUAAUGUUUAAUUCACAGAAGCCACCAGUACUUAUUAUUUUGGCCUAUCACAAACUUCUUAGUACACAUAAUAUUCCAAGUUGAUCGUUUUGUUUCAGAAGUUGCUAGAAUGAUCUUGGAGGCAGUGGAAUGUACUCUAGAGUGUCCUGAAGGAAUGCACUCUUGAUUGUGUGUCUUAUUAACCAAACAAACAGACAAACAGUGGCAGAUCAACUCAGAUCAAAGCAAAAUGGGGUCUUGAGGACAACAAUUUCAUAUCUUCUUCUGUUGGUGUCCUAUAAUUACAUGCAUGAGAAGGAAAAUAAAUCAACGAAAAGGCGAAGAACACUUAAAAAACUUUUUUGGUUGGAGGACGGAACUUGCGCAAAAACGCCGAUUAUGUUGCGUAGUCUACAUGACUUUCAAGUGUAUUUUUAUCGAGAAACAGGCCUUUGAAUGAAGUGGCCUGUGAACCUCGUGUAAACUGAUCAAACAGUGAGGGCGUAUCGGCAUGCGGGUGCUGUGAAAAGCUUUGUGUUCAUAUGACGAGACCGUCCAGUCAAAGACAUGCAGCCAUUGGACGGAACAGCUGUAGUGCAGCCUUCGCCCUGCUCAUUUCAAAUCUACUCUAAGUAUUUACCAGGUAUUAACGAACAAUCCAGUUUUCUCCUUUUGAAAUAUAUUCAUACCAUCACCCAUCUGAAAAUGCAACCAUUAUGAUUAAUACUAGUUACGUAUGAAAUUAAAAAUAUGGUUAAAUUA